rnacentral:rRNA from 1 species
AGCGUACGCGGGGGAUGCCUAGGCGCUGAAGGCCGAAGAAGGACGCGGCGAGCGGCGAAACGUUCAGGGGGAGCUGCUGGCAAGCGAUGAACCCUGAGUCUCCGAAUGGGGCAACCCCUCCGGCGUGAUGGCCGGAGAUCGGCGGUCUGACAGGACCGCACGAGGGGCAGCGGGCGAACUGAAACAUCUUAGUAGCCCGACGAAGAGAAAUCAACCGAGAUUCCCUCAGUAGUGGCGAGCGAACGGGGAAGAGCCUAAACCGUCGCGCGACCUGGCAACAGGUCCGAGGCGGGGUUGUAGGGCCGGCGUGGGGCCAGGCCCGAGCGCUGGGAUGCUGGACCCGAAGUGGCUGGAACGCCACACCAGAGGGGGUGAGAGUCCCGUAGGGGGACAGCAACCCCAGGGCUUGACGUCGGACCCUGAGUACCACAGGGCACGAGGAACCCGGUGGGAAGCAGGGGGGACCACCCUCCAAGGCUAAAGACCUUCAGCGACCGAUAGCGGACAGAGUACCGUGAGGGAAAGGUGAAAAGCACCCCGAGAGGGGGAUGAAAGAGUGCCUGAAACCGCGGACGCGAGCAGCAGUCAGAGACCCAUGCCGUGGCAGACCGGCGAGCGGGUCCCAGGCAACUGGGGCCGGCCCGAGCAGGCGCCACGUGCGGGUUGAUGGCGUGCCUUUUGUAGAAUGAUCCGGCGAGUGCAUCGUCGUUGCCACAGGUUAACCUCCCCACAGAGGAGGGGAGCCGGAGGGAAACCGAGUCUGAACAGGGCGCAGCCACCAGCUCUCUGGUGGCAGGUAGCGGCGAUGGGACCCGAAACCGUGUGAGCUACCCAUGGCCAGAGUGAAGCGGAUGUGACAAUCCGUCGAGGCUCGCACCCACUGGUGUUGCAAAACCAGGGGAGGAGCUGUGGGUAGGGGUGAAAUGCCAAGCGAACACGGAGAUAGCUGGUUCUCCCCGAAAUGCAUGGAGGUGCAGCCCGCCGCGGCAGCGUUGGGAGGUAGAGCGCUGUGUGGGUGCGGGGCCAGGAGCUGGUUACCAAGCUCAUGCAAACUGCGAAUGCCCAGCGCGAGUAGCGGGGCGGCGGAGUGAGUCUGGCGGGGAUAACCUUGUCAGACGAGAGGGAAACAACCCAGACCACCGGCUAAGGUCUCCAAGGGGCUGCUGAGUGGCAAAGGAGGUCAGCUGGCCCAGACAGCCAGGAUGUUGGCUUAGAAGCAGCCAUCAUUGAAAGAGUGCGUAAUAGCUCACUGGUCGAGCGAGCUGGCGCCGAGAACACCAGGAGGCUGAAGCAGCCGACCGAAGCCGUGGAGCCUCUCGCAAGAGAUGAGAGGCUGGUAGGGGAGCGUUCCGUCAGCCGAGAAGCCGGACCGCAAGGACCGGUGGAGCGGACGGAAGUGCGAAUGCCGGAAUGAGUAGCGCCAAGGAGGGUGAGAAUCCCUCCCACCGAAAGCCUCAGGGUUCCUGGGCACCGUUGAUCGACCCAGGGUUAGGCGGGCCCUAAGCCGAGGACGGUAGGUCGUAGGCGAUGGAGAGCAGGUGGACAAUCCUGCCCCAGAGGACGUCGUCAGGAGCGAAGGGGGGACGCGGUAGGGAAGGUGAACCCAUCGAGUGGACAGGAUGGGCUGCCUGGUGGAAGCGAGGCAUCGAGGAAAAGCCCGAUGCCACCAGACGUGACCCCAGGCACGAGCCUCCGCGAGGAGGCGACAAGUCAUCGACCCCCAGGCCGCCAAGAAAAGCCUCUAGCCAGACGUACCUCUGCCCGUACCGCAACCCGACACCGGUAGGCAGGGGGGCAAUCUCCCCAGGUGAACGAGUGAGCCUCUGUCAAGGAACUCGGCAACUUGGCCCCGUACCUUCGGAAGAAGGGGCGCCUUCGUAGCUGGCGCUGACCGGAGGGGUGCUCGCAAGGGCAUCCGAAGCAGGUCAGGGUUGGUGAGGAGGCCGCAGGAAUAGGCCCAGGCGACUGUUUACCAAAAACACAGGUCCCUGCGAACGCGGAAGCGGAGAUAUAGGGGCUGACUCCUGCCCAGUGCCGGAAGGUGAAGCUGGCGGGUGCACGAAGCUCGCCAGGGAAGCCCCGGUGAACGGCGGCCGUAACUCUAACGGUCCUAAGGUAGCGAAAUUCCUUGUCGGGUAAGUUCCGACCCGCACGAAAGGAGGAACGACCUGGGCGCUGUCUCGACAGAGGGCUCGGCGAAAUUGCAGUACCCGUGAAGAUGCGGGUUACCCACGACAGGACAAAAAGACCCCGUGGAGCUUGACUCUAGCCUGGCCUGGUGCCGAGGGCACACCUGCGGAGGAUAGGUGGGAGCCGAAGAAGCCGCCCUCGUGGGGGCGGUGGAGGCGCCGGUGAAAUACCACUCUGGUGUGUUGUCGGGACUCAUGCUGAGGCGGUAGAACCCGCCAGCAGACAGGGCUAGGUGGGGAGUUUGACUGGGGCGGUCGCCUCCUAAAGGGUAACGGAGGCGCCCAAAGGUUCCCUCAAGGUGGAUGGACAUCACCUGAGGCGUGUACAGGCAAAAGGGAGCUUGACUGCGAGGCCAACAAGCCGAGCAGGGACGAAAGUCGGGCUGAGUGAUCCCACAUGUCCGAGUGGAAGGCGUGUGGCGCAACGGACAAAAGCUACCCCGGGGAUAACAGGCUGAUCCUGCCCAAGAGUUCCCAUCGACGGCAGGGUUUGGCACCUCGAUGUCGGCUCGGCGCAUCCUGGGGCUGGAGUAGGUCCCAAGGGUUGGGCUGUUCGCCCAUGAAAGCGCCACGUGAGCUGGGUUCAGAACGUCGUGAGACAGUUCGGUCUCUAUCCGUCGUGGGCGAAAGGAAGCGUGAGGGGAGUCCGCUCUAGUACGAGAGGACCGAGAGGGCUUGACCGCUGGUGAGCCGGUUGGCCUGCCCAGGCCAGAGCCGGGUAGCUACGUCAGGCGAGGAGAAGCGCUGAAAGCAUCUAAGCGCGAAGCCGACCCCAAGAGCCGCUUCCCCCUCCAGGCUGGACCCCCAGCCGGAGAUAAGGUCCCAGGCAGAUCACCUGGUCGAUAGACCGGAGGUGGACACCUGGUAACAGGUGCAGCUGACCGGCCCUAAUGACCGAACGGCUUGUGC